UCAGCCAGGAUGAAAAUCAGCAGCACAUAUACUCCUCUCUUCUCCACGGUGAUGCUUGUGUCUAUGAGUCACUCAGAGGUCCUGAAAACACUGGAGAUGUUGGACGGGCCGGUGGCUCCACAAAUGUCAAAUCUCAGACUGAGCUCAGAGAUGUUGG